CGGGGGGAGCAAGCGUUGUUCGGAUUUACUGGGCGUAAAGGGCGCGUAGGCGGCCACGACAAGUCACUUGUGAAAUCUCCGGGCUUAACCCGGUAGCGGCCAAGUGAUACUGUUGGGCUAGAGUGCGGAAGGGGCAACUGGAAUUCUCGGUGUAGCGGUGAAAUGCGUAGAUAUCGAGAGGAACACCUGCGGCGAAGGCGGGUUGCUGGGCCGACACUGACGCUGAUGCGCGAAAGCUAGGGGAGCGAACGGGAUUAGAUACCCCGGUAGUCCUAGCCUUAAACGAUGGAUGCUUGGUGUCUGGGGUGAUAAAGUCCCCGGGUGCCGUCGCUAACGCUUUUAGCAUCCCGCCUGGGGAGUACGGUCGCAAGACUG
rnacentral:rRNA from 1 species